UCGAGAGGCUUCGGCAAUGGGGGAAACCCUGACCGAGCGACGCCGCGUGGGGGAUGAAGGCCCUUGGGUUGUAAACCCCUUUUGUUCGGAAAGAAAUGCGAUCAGGUUAAUAAUCUGGUCGUUUGACGGUACCGGACGAAUAAGCUCCGGCUAACUCCGUGCCAGCAGCCGCGGUAACACGGGGGGAGCAAGCGUUGUUCGGAAUCACUGGGCGUAAAGGGCGUGUAGGCGGUCAGGUAAGUGGGACGUGAAAUGCCUCGGCUCACCCGAGGAGCGGCGUCUCAUACUGCUUGGCUUGAGUACGGGAGAGGAUGUGGGAAUUCCUGGUGUAGCGGUGAAAUGCGUAGAUAUCAGGAGGAACACCGGUGGCGAAGGCGCACAUCUGGCCCGAUACUGACGCUGAGGCGCGAAAGCUAGGGGAGCAAACGGGAUUAGAUACCCCCGUAGUCCCUGAGCGGGCUGGCAAGGCGCAU
rnacentral:rRNA from 1 species